ACUCCUAAAAGAUAACAGACAUCUAUUGAUCUUAGGAACCAAAAAUUCUUGGUGCAACUCCAAGUAGGAGUA
rnacentral:tRNA from 1 species